GGAUUCCCCUAGUAACUGCGAGUGAAGCGGGAAGAGCUCAAAUUUAAAAUCUGGCGGCCUCUGGUCGUCCGAGUUGUAGUCUGGAGAAGCGUUUUCCGUGUUGGACCGUGUAUAAGUCUCUUGGAACAGGGCGUCAUAGAGGGUGAGAAUCCCGUCUUUGACACGGACUACCAAUGCUUUGUGAUGCGCUCUCAAAGAGUCGAGUUGUUUGGGAAUGCAGCUCAAAACGGGUGGUAAAUUCCAUCUAAAGCUAAAUAUAGGCGAGAGACCGAUAGCGAACAAGUACCGUGAGGGAAAGAUGAAAAGCACUUUGGAAAGAGAGUUAAACAGUACGUGAAAUUGCUGAAAGGGAAACGCCUGAAGUCAGUCGCGUCUGCCAGGACUCAGCCUCGCUUCUGCUUGGUGCACUUUCUGGUUGGAUGGGCCAACAUCAAUUUUGACCGUUGGAGAAAGGCUUUGGGAAUGUGGCACCUUCGGGUGUGUUAUAGCCCUUUGUCGCAUACGACGGUUGGGAUUGAGGACCGCAGCACGCCUUCAUGGCCGGGGUUCGCCCACGUACGUGCUUAGGAUGUUGGCAUAAUGGCUUUAAGCGACCCGU
rnacentral:rRNA from 1 species